UUGCAUGCUGUGGCUGUAUAGCCACAACAAGUCCUCCUCUCCUACUUAUGAGAUCAUGGACAUGUAGAAUCAAGCAUGCUAGAGAAACAUGGAGUUAACAGGGCCACCAGCCUCUCAAGUUCAGGCUGUGUUGGUAGUAUAGCACUCCAACAACU